rnacentral:rRNA from 1 species
GACGAACGCUGGCGGCGUGCUUAACACAUGCAAGUCGAACGGAAAGGCCCUGCUUUUGUGGGGUGCUCGAGUGGCGAACGGGUGAGUAACACGUGAGUAACCUGCCCUUGACUUUGGGAUAACUUCAGGAAACUGGGGCUAAUACCGGAUAGGAGCUCCUGCUGCAUGGUGGGGGUUGGAAAGUUUCGGCGGUUGGGGAUGGACUCGCGGCUUAUCAGCUGGUUGGUGGGGUAGUGGCUUACCAAGGCUUUGACGGGUGGCCGGCCUGAGAGGGUGAACGGCCACAUGGGGACUGAGAUACGGCCCAGACUCCUACGGGAGGCAGCAGUGGGGAAUAUUGCACAAUGGGCGGAAGCCUGUUGCAGCAACGCCGCGUGCGGGAUGACGGCCUUCGGGUUGUAAACCGCUUUCGCCUGUGACGAAGCGUGAGUGACGGUAAUGGGUAAAGAAGCACCGGCUAACUACGUG